CCUACGGGGGGCAGCAGUGGGGAAUAUUGGACAAUGGGGGCAACCCUGAUCCAGCCAUGCCGCGUGUGUGAAGAAGGCCCUCGGGUUGUAAAGCACUUUCAGUGAGGAAGAACGCCUGGUGGUUAAUACCCAUCAGGAAAGACAUCACUCACAGAAGAAGCACCGGCUAACUCCGUGCCAGCAGCCGCGGUAAUACGGAGGGUGCGAGCGUUAAUCGGAAUUACUGGGCGUAAAGCGCGCGUAGGUGGCUUGAUAAGCCGGUUGUGAAAGCCCCGGGCUCAAACUGGGAACGGCAUCCGGAACUGUCAAGCUAGAGUGCAGGAGAGGAAGGUAGAAUUCCCGGUGUAGCGGUGAAAUGCGUAGAGAUCGGGAGGAAUACCAGUGGCGAAGGCGGCCUUCUGGACUGACACUGACACUGAGGUGCGAAAGCGUGGGUAGCAAACAGGAUUAGAUACCCCAGUAGUC
rnacentral:rRNA from 1 species